GACGAACGCUGGCGGCGUGCUUAACACAUGCAAGUCGAACGAAGAGCGAUGGAAGCUUGCUUCUAUCAAUCUUAGUGGCGAACGGGUGAGUAACGCGUAAUCAACCUGCCCUUCAGAGGGGGACAACAGUUGGAAACGACUGCUAAUACCGCAUACGAUCUAAUCUCGGCAUCGAGGAUAGAUGAAAGGUGGCCUCUACAUGUAAGCUAUCACUGAAGGAGGGGAUUGCGUCUGAUUAGCUAGUUGGAGGGGUAACGGCCCACCAAGGCGAUGAUCAGUAGCCGGUCUGAGAGGAUGAACGGCCACAUUGGGACUGAGACACGGCCCAGACUCCUACGGGAGGCAGCAGUGGGGAAUCUUCCGCAAUGGACGAAAGUCUGACGGAGCAACGCCGCGUGAGUGAUGACGGCCUUCGGGUUGUAAAGCUCUGUUAAUCGGGACGAAAGGCCUUCUUGCGAAUAGUGAGAAGGAUUGACGGUACCGGAAUAGAAAGCCACGGCUAACUACGUGCCAGCAGCCGCGGUAA
rnacentral:rRNA from 1 species